AUGCUUUGCUUAAUUAAUUAUAUUUUGGGUCACACUUUGUGGUGUGUCACUUUACAAGUGAAGCUAGAAAGAUUGCUCCUCUCGCUAUCCUUUGCUCCUUUCGUGGUGUAUUCCUUUGCUCCUUUCGUGGUGUAUUUGGACGUUGGGGAACUACAUUA